AGACAGUAGCAAUAUUGUCUUAGUGGCGAACCGGUGAGUAACGCGUUGGUGACCUGCCCCGAAGAGAGGGAUAACAGUUCGAAAGGAUUGCUAAUACCUCAUGUGGUCAUUUGGUUUAGAUGCUUAUGACUAAACGGAUUUAUUCGCUUCGGGAGGGGCCUGCGUCCCAUCAGCUAGUUGGUAAGGUAAUGGCCUACCAAGGCGAUGACGGGUAGGGGACCUGAGAGGGUGGCCCCCCACAAUGGAACUGAAACACGGUCCAUACACCUACGGGUGGCAGCAGUAGGGAAUAUUGGUUAAUGUGGGAAACCGCGAACCAGCAACGCCGCGUGCGCGAUGAAGGCCUUCGGGUUGUAAAGCGCUUUUAGAGAGGAUGAGGAAGGACAGUACUCUCUGAAUAAGCCUCGGCUAACUACGUGCCAGCAGCCGCGGUAAAACGUAGGAGGCGAGCGUUAUCCGGAUUUACUGGGCGUAAAGCGCGUGUAGGCGGUCUGAUAAGUUGGAUGUGAAAGCUCCUGGCUUAACUGGGAGAGGUCGUUCAAAACUGUUAGACUUGAGAGUGGUAGAGGGAGGUGGAAUUCCGGGUGUAGUGGUGAAAUGCGUAGAUAUCCGGAGGAACACCAGUGGCGAAAGCGGCCUCCUGGACCAUUUCUGACGCUCAGACGCGAAAGCUAAGGUAGCAAACGGGAUUAGAGACCCCGGUAGUCUUAGCUGUAAACGAUGUGAACUAGGUGUCGGUGGGUUCAAAUCCAUCGGUACCGAAGCUAACGCGAUAAGUUCACCGCCUGGGGACUACGGCCGCAAGGUUAAAACUCAAAGGAAUUGACGG
rnacentral:rRNA from 1 species